rnacentral:rRNA from 1 species
UACGUAGGGUGCAAGCGUUAAUCGGAAUUACUGGGCGUAAAGCGUGCGCAGGCGGUUAUGCAAGACAGAUGUGAAAUCCCCGGGCUUAACCUGGGAACUGCAUUUGGGACUGCAUGGCUGGAGUGCGGCAGAGGGGGAUGGAAUUCCGCGUGUAGCAGUGAAAUGCGUAGAUAUGCGGAGGAACACCGAUGGCGAAGGCAAUCCCCUGGGCCUGCACUGACGCUCAUGCACGAAAGCGUGGGGAGCAAACAGG